rnacentral:lncRNA from 1 species
AAAUACACGAAUACACUGAAGAACAUGAAUACACACAGGUUCUCGCGACGCGGGCCUUCAAACUGAACGGUAUACACAAAAAUCCUCAUACAAGCUAAGAUCUGCGCAAGCAUCAAACAUAGAGAUCCUGUGCCAACGCGCGAAGCCCAUGACACAAUGACGUAUACACACAUGCAGUGUACUCACGGAAAUGCCUAUAUAAGGAAUAAUUUUCUGCCGGGGAACUACCCAACAAACAGUAACUUUCAGUGUUU